UACGUAUGGUGCAAGCGUUAUCCGGAUUUACUGGGUGUAAAGGGAGCGUAGGCGGCGCGUUAAGUCUGAUGUGAAAACCCGAGGCUCAACCACGGGAGUGCAUUGGAAACUGGCGUGCUGGAGUGCCGGAGAGGUAAGCGGAAUUCCUAGUGUAGCGGUGAAAUGCGUAGAUAUUAGGAGGAACACCAGUGGCGAAGGCGGCUUGCUGGACGAUGACUGACGUUGAGGCUCGAAAGCGUGGGGAGCAAACAGG
rnacentral:rRNA from 1 species